rnacentral:rRNA from 1 species
GACGUAGGGCGCGAGCGUUGUCCGGAUUUAUUGGGCGUAAAGAGCUCGUAGGCGGCUUGUCGCGUCGACCGUGAAAACUCGCAGCUCAACUGCGGGUCUGCAGUCGAUACGGGCAGGCGUAGAGUUCGGUAGGGGAGACUGGAAUUCCUGGUGUAGCGGUGAAAUGCGCAGAUAUCAGGAGGAACACCGGUGGCGAAGGCGGGUCUCUGGGCCGAUACUGACGCUGAGGAGCGAAAGCGUGGGGAGCGAACAGG